rfam:Pseudozyma antarctica DNA, scaffold: scaffold_v10011, strain JCM 10317, whole genome shotgun sequence.
UCCCGGCUAGCUCAGUCGGUAGAGCGUCAGACUCUUAUUCAAGGGUUUCCGAGCUUUGUUCGGUAUCUGAAUGUCGUGGGUUCGAGCCCCACGUUGGGAG